rnacentral:rRNA from 1 species
UGGGGAAUUUUGGACAAUGGGCGAAAGCCUGAUCCAGCAAUGCCGCGUGUGUGAAGAAGGCCUUCGGGUUGUAAAGCACUUUUGUCCGGAAAGAAAUCCUUGGCUCUAAUACAGUCGGGGGAUGACGGUACCGGAAGAAUAAGCACCGGCUAACUACGUGCCAGCAGCCGCGGUAAUACGUAGGGUGCAAGCGUUAAUCGGAAUUACUGGGCGUAAAGCGUGCGCAGGCGGUUUGCUAAGACCGAUGUGAAAUCCCCGGGCUCAACCUGGGAACUGCAUUGGUGACUGGCAGGCUAGAGUAUGGCAGAGGGGGGUAGAAUUCCACGUGUAGCAGUGAAAUGCGUAGAGAUGUGGAGGAAUACCGAUGGCGAAGGCAGCCCCCUGGGCCAAUACUGACGCUCAUGCACGAAAGCGUGGGGAGCAAACAGGAUUAGAUACCCUGGUAGUCCACGCCCUAAACGAUGUCAACUAGUUGUUGGGGACUUCAUUUCCUUAGUAACGUAGCUAACGCGUGAAGUUGACCGCCUGGGGAGUACGGUCGCAAGAUUAAAACUUAAAGGAAUUGACGGGGUCAUA